AUCUUUGACCUCUCACACCCAAAGGACUCAAUGUAGGAAUAGGUCAUAUGGCUGAUGCCCUGACACUGUGCCCCCAGAACAGCCAGCAACAGAAUCAGCACCAGCAUCCCAGCAUCUCCCAGGUGACUGUUAUCAGAGAAAUAUUUGGUUGAUCCACGUGGGGCAAUUUCCCAAAGAAAACAAAACCAAACCUAUUUUGUAGAAGAAUCUUUGAAAGCUGGUGGUGCCUUUGACCUGAGUAGUCAAUCCUUCUUUCUUAAAUAAAAUGAAGAAAUAAAGGAAAAAGAGGGGUUUUUCCCCAACA